rnacentral:lncRNA from 1 species
UGAAUUCGAACCCAGAGACUUCGGGCCUUUGCGUUGUUACCGCAGUCCGCAUUUCAAAGCCAGAGUUUGGCCACUGAGUCACCAUGACCUCGAGUACUGGCGGGGCCUGAGCCAGCAGAGCUAGGCCCAGCAGCCUCCCACCCCUUCGUCCUCCUCUGGGCUCCCCCUCCCCUAAAUGAUUAAUGCAAUGUCUGUUACUCACCUGCGUGGGACCGUCCACGGCAAAUAUCACCAACUGUUCUUAUGCACGUGCAGAAGUUCCGUCCCUUUCCUAACUGUCUGAUCUCUUCCAUGGUUCACAUUUGACCAACAGCCACAGGAGGGAGCCUCCCAGGUGGUCGACCGGAGCCAGGUGCUGCCAGGCACCCGACUGCAGAGCUUGCCCUCCAGGUGAUCUCGCAGUAUCGGUGUUCACAAGCCCUGUAAGGCACUCGGGGUAUCCUGAAGGCUACAGAUUCUGCAAGGGCAGAGACUUUAAGGAACAGCCAUAGUCCUUCUCCAGCUCAAAAUCUGGACCAUGGGCACAAGGUAAACACCACACUGGUGUCAACAAAGGAAUCUGCUAUUUAUGUGGAUUUUUACUUUAGACAAACUAGAGUAUCUAUGUUGUUCUGUGUGUUGAACACAGAGUGUGAUGAUGUUAAUAUAAUGUAAAUGUUGAUGUAACAGUAAACAUUUCUGGCAACAUUUCAGGGUCCUUCCUCUUGCCUUAUUAGGGGGUGAUGCAUUCAUACAGACUUCCCCUGUUAGAAGAGCUAGCAGUAAGACAGCCCAAGUACUUGGAGGAAAUUCACUCUAGCCCAUUGGUUUGGAAAAGAAGGUAUAGCCUGCAAUUUAGAAAUGCACCUUAUUUUUAAAUACUUGAAUUCUGCUGCUGCUCACUGGACCAGGAGGAGUCAGUGAUGAAUGCUCAUAUUUACCUUUUUGGGGGCAAAAACCCAGUUCUGAAAUGCUGGGUAUUGUAAUCAGAUGUAAAGAAGGUGCCUAUGAUAGACGAGUGAAAACAAUGAUAUCUAAGGAGAGGAACUGACGCUCCAACUAGAUGUGUGCUUUCAGGAAUGGGGCAGAGACGCGAUGCAGUUUGGUUAUUCAGCACAUUCCUUGCACCUUCUCCCUUUCCUAUAUACAUACUUUUUACAUAUAAACAAUUACAACUUCAUAAGGAUUUGGUACAUAUUUACAUGCUUCUCUUUGCCGUAUAGUUUGCCUUAUUAUUAUUACAGAACUGUGAUUAAGAGUGUCUGUGGUGGAUAGAGGUGUAUGAAGUGCUCCAGACAUAUAUACAACAUGCUAAACCAUGAUGACCCAAAUAAACAUGAGGGAUGUGAAUCUGGGAAUGUGAGUUUCACUGCACAUCUUUAGAUCCGAAACAGCUGGCCCAUGCAGCUGUUGUUCCCAUGCAGGUACACAUUGGGACCAUGCCAGGAGCUCUCCCAGAGGAGGAGGCCAGGCUGGCAGGGAGCCAGGUAGAGUUACAACAUAUUUCUGGAUGCCUGCAUCGUAGAGUCCAUCGGACUUCAACCCAGCGGUUCACCCACAGCGCCACGGUAGCUUUUAUUAACACAAGGCUAUUGUGUGCCAUUCAGUUGUGAGUAUAAUAAAUGUGCCAAGAAGAUGCAGUCGUUAAAAUGAGACAAAACUAUGCACAGAGGACUAAACAGGAUUUCAGACUCGAGACGCAAACCCCGAGGUCAGGCUCAGCUAGAGACAUUGAACUGGCCCAGUAUCUUGCCGAGUAAAUCAGGAACUGUGGCUUGAAUGACAACAGAAAUGGAUGGGUCUUUCUUGGACAAGUGCUGAUUAAUAGUGCAUUUUCCAGCAGAAAUCCUGCAGCCACCAAAGAAAAAGCAUAUCUGUCUGAUACUAUUAGCUUUUCCCUGAUUUCAACCUAGGGAGCCAUGCCUGGUCCGCAGCCACUGUGUCAUCUGCCCCAAAGUCAGACAUUUCUUCUGACACAAAUAUAAAAUGAGCCUAAUACUUCCAGACAACCCAGUCCUCCCUACGGCAGCUGAGUCGUGUCUUUUAUACAAUGCUGCCAGUAACAGUCACACCUGGCUGCACAGCUGGCUGCCUCAACUUCUAGGUGCCUCGAAAUGGCUAAAUCCCACGAAUGGCUCUUCUGGUUGCAUGAAAACAUGCAUAAACGCAUGCUUGUGCACACAAGUGAGCACACACACACACCUCCUGUCAAUUCAGCUCUGAGAGCAGAACCUUAGCCCACCUAGGGUGGGAGGACACAGAAGUUCCAUCUGCAGCCAGUCAGGCUCCAUCCACAGGCUGGACGAAGCUCCUGGGCUGUGGCCUGGGUCUCCCAGCAGGAGUGGAAAUCACACCUAACGUUGCCUUCACCAAUGCACUGCUUCCUCUCUGAAAAAGAGUGGAGAAAACGCCGUUUAGUGUGACGAGCUGGGGAAUGUGUGUGACCCACCACAGGUCAGCACUCAAGGCAGUUGGGGCCUUGACCAGGCACUGGCUCUGCACAGGAUGGUCACUGAGCCAAUGGCAGGCACUGCCCUCAUGGGUCCAGCACCAGCUACAGCGCCACGUCCUGAGCCUCCAGCCCGGGAGACGCACCUGGCACCCACCGAAGGCCACACUCUCAGGAAGAUGAGUCCAUGCUCCCCACAAAGCCCCUACAGAAGUGACCUUGGAUGUUUC